rnacentral:rRNA from 1 species
UACGGGGGGGAGCAAGCGUUGUUCGGAUUUACUGGGCGUAAAGGGCGCGUAGGCGGCAUGACAAGUCACUUGUGAAAUCUCCGGGCUUAACUCGGAACGACCAAGUGAUACUGUCAAGCUAGAGUGCAGAAAGGGCAAUCGGAAUUCUUGGUGUAGCGGUGAAAUGCGUAGAUAUCAAGAGGAACACCUGAGGCGAAGGCGGGUUGCUAGGCUGACACUGACGCUGACAGCGCGAAAGCCAGGGGAGCAAACGGG